UAAGCGGAGGAAAAGAAACUAACAAGGAUUCCCCUAGUAACUGCGAGUGAAGCGGGAAAAGCUCAAAUUUAAAAUCUGAUGGUCUUUGGCCGUCCGAGUUGUAAUUUAGAGAAGCGUCUUCCGCGCUGGACCGUGCACAAGUCUCCUGGAAUGGAGCGUCAUAGAGGGUGAGAAUCCCGUCUUUGGCACGGACACACCAGGGCUUUUGUGAUGCGCUCUCGAAGAGUCGAGUUGUUUGGGAAUGCAGCUCAAAAUGGGUGGUGAACUCCAUCUAAAGCUAAAUAUUGGCGAGAGACCGAUAGCGAACAAGUACCGUGAGGGAAAGAUGAAAAGCACUUUGGAAAGAGAGUGAAACAGUACGUGAAAUUGUUGAAAGGGAAACGCUUGAAGUCAGUCGCGUCGACCGAGACUCAGCCUUGCCUUGGCUUGGUGUACUUCUCGGCUGACGGGUCAGCAUCAAUUUUGCCCCUUGGAUAAUGGCGAGGGAAAUGUGACACCUUUGCGGUGUGUUAUAGUCCCUCGUCGCAUGCAAGGGUUGGGAUUGAGGAACUCAGCACGCGCCUUUGGGCGUCGGGGCNUUGCCCACGAUACGUGCUUAGGAUGNUGGCGUAAUGGCUUU
rnacentral:rRNA from 1 species